rnacentral:rRNA from 1 species
UAGUCAUAUGCUUGUCUCAAAGAUUAAGCCAUGCAUGUCUAAGCACAAGCCGAUUAAUGGUGAAGCCGCGAAUGGCUCAUUACAACAGCCAUAGUUUCUUAGAUCUUACUUUUCUACUUGGAUAACUGUGGUAAUUCUAGGGCUAAUACACGCAAACAAGCUCAGACCUUACGGAAUGAGCGCAUUUAUUAGAACAAAAACCAAUCGGGCUUCGGUCCGUCAUUUGGUGAAUCUGAAUAACUUUGCUGAUCGCACGGUCUUCGUACCGGCGACAUAUCUUCCAAAUGUCUGCCUUAUCAACUUUCGAUGGUAGUUUAUGCGCCUACCAUGGUUGUAACGGGUAACGGAGAAUAAGGGUUCGACUCCGGAGAGGGAGCCUGAGAAACGGCUACCACAUCCAAGGAAGGCAGCAGGCACGCAAAUUACCCACUCCCGGCACGGGGAGGUAGUGACGAAAAAUAACGAGACGGCUCGCUAUGCGGUCCGUCAUCGGAAUGGGUACAAUUUAAAUCCUUUAACGAGGAUCUAUU